rnacentral:rRNA from 1 species
UAGGGAAUCUUCGGCAAUGGACGAAAGUCUGACCGAGCAACGCCGCGUGUGUGAAGAAGGUUUUCGGAUCGUAAAACUCUGUUGUUAGAGAAGAACAAGGACGUUAGUAACUGAACGUCCCCUGACGGUAUCUAACCAGAAAGCCACGGCUAACUACGUGCCAGCAGCCGCGGUAAUACGUAGGUGGCAAGCGUUGUCCGGAUUUAUUGGGCGUAAAGCGAGCGCAGGCGGUUUCUUAAGUCUGUUGUGAAAGCCCCCGGCUCAACCGGGGAGGGUCAUUGGAAACUGGGAGACUUUAGUGCAGAAGAGGAGUGUGGAAGUCCAUGUGUAGCGGUGAAAUGCGUAGAUAUAUGGAGGAACACCAGUGGCGAAGGCGGCUCUCUGGUCUGUAACUGACGCUGAGGCUCGAAAGCGUGGGGAGCAAACAGG